GCCCGGUUAGCUCAAUCGGUAGAGCGUGAGACUCUUAAUCUCAAGGUUGCGGGUAAGCAUGAAUUCACACUUAUAUGAUCAAGUCACGUGCUAAUCACGUGAUUUCGCAGGUUCGACCCCCGCAUUGGGCU